UAUGUGGUUAGCAAGGACAGCGUAGCUAACAUACCGGUACAUACUGCUGUAAUGCUAUGUGGUUAGCAAGGACAGCGUAGCUAACAAAUUGUCAGCCAACCAUAACGUAUAACGUAACUUAUUUGAAAAGGCAUUACUUUAUGACAUUGCUCAACAUUUUCUUAACAUCAGUUCUAAUUAGUUAAAGCAAUGAAAUUGUAUCCGCUUCUCGUCGGACUUCGGGCUGCAUAUUUUCCGACAUUUUCUUUAAAAUCUGGAAAACGUUGUGACAUUUUCUGAAGAAUUUUUCUGACGGACCAAAGCUGAAGAACUUCCAGUUUCUCUCUUCAGGUGAGUUGUUGUUGUUGUUGACAAACUCCCAGGUGAUAUUUAUUUACCACAACAACGUUUUGACCCAUCAGGCAUCCAUUUUCCUUUCUGUUUUCCCAUGAAUACAGUAAUCCCUCGUUUAUCGCGGGGGGUUACGUUCCGAAAAUGACCGAAAAUAAGUGAAAUCCGCGAAAUAGAAAACUUUUUUUUUUUUUUACAAUUAGCAACUAUUACAUGUAUACAAAUACAGUGACUCACGUGUAGGCCGUUUCACUGCUCUUCAGAGCGUUUCGUCGACAUUAUGGGUUUAGGAGAUGUUCGAAAUUACAAGAUAAUUUGGCCAACUUAAUGUAAAUUUGCCAAGCUGUUUUAUGUACGUACACAUAACUGCACGAGACGACAAAAUGAUAGCACAAUUCGUAGCAUGUUUUGAUACAAGAAGCGGGAGUGAGUUUUUAGCGAAUCAGAAUGCAGAGCACAAUGCACCAAAAAAAAAAAAAAAAUGCAUUAUGAAAAUCCGCGAAAUAGCGAAUCCGCGAUAAGUGAACCGCGAAGUGGCGAGGGAUCACUGUAUACUAUGAAUUGCAUUAUGGGCCCUGAAAGCACGGAAAUAGUGUCCACUGCUUGUAUACUUUGCAUUUUGGCAAAUUUAGUACGACAUCCGGGAACUUUUGGCUUACUAAACUCUAUCCAUACUGUGACCAAUAAGCAUACUAUAUACUCAAUUCACGUGACAAAUAGUACAGUUUAGUGCGGUUAGUAUGAGCAUUCGAACACAGCUCUUGUCUUUUUUGUCUACACCCAUUCAGCAUCGUUCAGACCCUCUUAAGCCUUAGCCCCACCCAUCUCUUUAAGGAUUCACAUGUGAGGAAGACCCAUGACCUUCAACGGAGAUCCAGGUUUCUGACAUUGGGUCUGACAUUAAGCUCUAAAAUGACUUGGUGUUCUCCUGAUUUCAUGAUGUCAUGCAUACGUUCAAGGCACCCAGUGUCAGAGGCAGCAAAGUAACCCCAAAACAUCACUGAACCCUCCUCCAUGUUGGACUGAAGGUGUCAUGUUCUUUGAAGGCUUCAUUUUGUUUUCUGGUGUGCUUUACCAAAAAAAAAAAGCUAUAAUUUGGUGUCAUCUGUCCACAGGACAUUCUCCCAGAUGGAUUUUGGCAUGUUCAGGUGUGUUCAUGGCUUACUGCAACUCAAGCUACAGACAUGGCUUACUGCAAGUAACACAACACAUGUAUAAUGACUGUAAGCUAGCUAGUUACCUAGCUAAUACACUUAGUUUACUCAUUGGGAAAUAAUUGUUCUGCUAUCUAGCUAGCUAUACCGGAUGCAGCCAUUGGUGCUGCAGCCAGCAAGCUAACUAGCUAACCAAAACGUGGCUAACUACCAAAUGAAAAUAAUUAAGCUAUUUCUGAUCGUUACCAUAUAUAGCUAGUUAGACUCUUUCUGACAAUUGUACUGUGAACACAAGGUUAGCUAGCUGGAUAUCUAGCUAGGAAAGCUAGCUCUAGUUUACAGUAGCCAAGAAAAUCUAUGAUCAUGAUCAUCUCGUGGCAAAAAAUUGCUUUGAAAAGAUACACAAAUACUAAUACCGCUUUGAGCUGCCCUUAAAUGAAGAUCAAAACAGUAAUUUCAAGUGAUUUAAGUGAUUUAUUAUAGUUAGUUAGAAGGAGAACAACGUCAUCUCAUUCGGCAGCAUAAAAUCCGACCGACCACCGACUGUCACAGUGAAGCACAAGUUUAAAAAAAAAAUGAAAACGACUUUGAAAAUCACGGGCACCAGAUUAUUUCCUGACUGAAAUAGCUGGAUCAAAUGCAAAAAACGUGACAUAGAUUUGUGUUUGUGUUCUCGACAGUACAAUAUCAGAGCAUGUGAGUGCAGAAAUUGUGCACCAAAAUCAGAUAACUUUGAACCUUUUCAAACAAAUUAAUUUUUCAAACAUUCCAAAAGAGCAUUUUGACAGGAAGCCAUGCCUCCUUUCGUGUUAAAUCAAGGAGACAAAAUCUACCCGGACCAAAAUAUUAUUGCUGAUCAUUUUAUGAUGUAUUUAGCUGUUGUAAUAAAGAAAAGGUUUGGAAAAACAGGGAAACUUUUGCCUGUCACCUUUUUAAAGAAGGUUAACUUAUCCGGAUCCUAAGCACCUGAUAUCUGACCACACCUCCACCUUGUCAUUUGCUGAUGCAGCAACUAUCAGGUGUAGACUAAAUAUUUAUUUGACAUCGUUUGACUUUGUUGACUCUUCCAGAGCUCUCUGCGCCCUAGUGGGGUUAAUCAAGGCCAGGGUUCCCCAUCUGGCGGCUAGCCCACGGCUGGUUUUAUUUGGCACGCCAAGUUUUCUGAGCCAAAGAAAAUAAAACAAAAUUUAAAAAUCGUGUGGAAUUUUCAUUGCUGGACAUAGAAGACUGUAAAAUAAAAAAAACACACCAGGAAAUCAUCUCCAGGUGAUUUUAAUAGAACAAAUCUGUUCCCAAGUAUUCAUACGCAUAAUAGAGAGACUUGUGAUCGUAUACAAAUGUAAGCAAGGUUUGAAAUGAUUAUCUUUUAGUUAAACAUUAUAUCUGUUGGGUCUUCUUGCAGUCUACAAAUGAUUUGUAAUUAUGUUCCGGUCCCCCGACCAUCCGCUCCAGAAAACAAUCGGCCCGCGGCUGAAUCUAGUUUAUGCUGUAAUACAGAGAGAUGGAUAGGUCUGUGACGGAGAGAUGGAUAGGUCUGUGACGGAGAGAUAGAUAGGUCUGUGACGGAGAGAUGGAUAGGUCUGUGACGGUCAUGGUAUCUUGGAUGGCUGUUUUGGAUGAUAAUUGGCAAGCCGAAUGACCGCAGCCACCGUAAUAGCCUUUUUGAAUAGAAAAUAUAUAUUUAUUAUUCUUUUAAUAGUUUUGUUUUGGUGCAUAUUUUCUCCUCUCCUCUGCUCCUGACUGCAUGUGCUACAGUAGAAAUAGAAUCUCUGUCCCCAUUCAACUCAAUGAUGGCAUAAUGGGUGGUCUGGCGGCCAUUGCGACUGUGACCAUAGGAACAAAGCAGGAAGUAAAAUAUGUGCUGUGAUUUGUUGAUUCAACUCAACUGACAUUAGUCACAUCAAUUAGCAUAAUUUAAAUGAAUAUUCUACGUUACCAUGGAAAUUAUUGCAUCACAAUACCAGGAAGCCAUUACGAGUGUACCCCCUGAGUUUACCGCUGAAAUUGCCAGGGUUAGAAGGUCCCAACAAGCCUGUUCUAUUCAUUCUAUUUCUAUGUGUGCUGCUGUUGCAUUGUGGGGGGUGUUGCCUAGGCAACCGAAGACUCGUUUGCUUGUUUCAACAAGGAGCAACAAAGUUUCAUCACGUUGUUAAGAGUCCAUGAAAUGGAAACAACCGCACGAAUGCCCGGCCGUCCUGUCUAAAGUCAAAUAUUCGUUACAUAACAACAAAACAAACAAACAUAUAUAUGUGUAUGUACAUUACCAGUCAAAAGUUUGGACACACCUACUCAUUCAAGGGUUUUACUUUAUUUUUACUAUUUUCUACAUUGUAGAAUAAUAAUGAAGACAUCAAAACUAUGAAAUAGCACAUAUGGAAUCAUGUAGUAACCAAAAAAGUGUAAAACAAAUCAAAAUAUAUUUUCUAUUUUAGAUUCUUCAAAGUAGACACCCUUUGCUUUGCACACUCUUGGCAUUCUCUCAACCAGCUUCACCUGUAAUGCUUUUCCAACAGUCUUGAAGGAGUUCCCACAUAUGCUGAGCACUUGUUGGCUGCUUUUCCUUCACUCUGCGGUCCAACUCGUUCCAAACCAUCUCAAUUGGGUUGAGGUCAGGUGAUUGUGGAGGCCAGGUCAUCUGAUGCAGCACUCCAUCACUCUCAUUGGUCAAAUAGCCCUUACACAGCCUGGAGAUGUGUUUUGGGUCAUUGUCCUGUUGAAAAACAAACGAUUGUCCCACUAAGCACAAACCAGAUGGGAUGGUGUAUCGCUGCAGAAUGCUGUGGUAGCCAUGCUGGUUAAGUGUGCCUUGAAGUCUAAAUAAAUCACUGACAGUGUCACCAGCAAAGCACCAUCACACUGUCACACCUCCUCCAUGCUUCACAGUGGGAACCACACAUACGGAGAUCCUCUGUUCACCUACUCUACAUCUCACAAAGACACGGCUGUUAGAACCAAAAAUGUCACAUUUGGACUCAUCAGACCAAAAGACACCAAUAAGAAGAAGAGACCGAAGGACAGAUUUCCACCGGUCUAAUGUCCAUUGCUCAUGUUUGAUGGCCCAAGCACGUCUCUUCUUCUUAUUGGUGCCCUUUAGUAGUGGUUUCUUUGCAGCAAUUUGACCAUGAAGGCCUGAUUCAUACAGUCUCCUCUGAACAGUUGAUGGUGAGAUGUGUCUGUUACUUGAACUCUGAAGCAUUUAUUUGGGCUGCAAUUUCUGAGGCUGGUAACUCUAAUGAACUUAUUCUCUGCAGCAGAGAUAACUCUGGGUCUUCCUUUCCUGUGGCGGUCCUUGAGAGCCAAUUUCAUCAUAGUGCUUGAUGGUUUUUGCGAUUGACUGACCAUCAUGUCUUAAAACUUGUGGAAUUUCUUUCCUUGUUAAUGAGCCAAUCAGUUGUGCUGUGACAGGGUAGGAGUGGUAAACAGAAGAUAGCCUAUUUGGUAAAAGACCAAGUCCAUAUUAUAGCAAGAACAACUCAAAUAAGCAAAGAGAAACAACAGUCCAUCAUUACUUUAAAAGUUGUUAGGGCUAGGGUCCUUUUAACAGAAUUUCUGCCUGACUGACGUGCCCAAAGUAAACUGCCUGUUACUCAGGCCCAGAAGCCAGGAUAUGCAUAUGAUUGGUAGCAUUGGAUAGAAAACACUCUGAAGUUUGUAGAAAUGUUAAGAUAAUGUAUGAGGCUAUAACACAAUUCAUAUGGUAGGAGAAAAACCCAAAGAAAAAACAACCCGGAAUUUCAUUUCUUUUGAGAUCCCAUGCUAUUACAAUGGAAAGCUAUGGGUCCUAUGCAAUUCCAGCUCCCAUAUUGCAAUUCCUAUGGCUUCCACUAGAUGUCAACAGUCUUUGUUCAAGGUUUCAGGCUUGUUUCUUCCAAAACGAGGAAGAAUUUUGAGUGUUUUGGUACUGGGAGUCACAGUUGGAAAUCAGUCUGGGGACGCAACGAAGAUAAUUAUGAUAAUUAAAUAUUAAAAUAAUGCUCAUUUUACUUUUCUAUUGAACAUACUUCUUUCCGUAUUAAAUAUUCUAGUUUAAUUACAUUUUAGGACCUGAGGAUUAAAUAGAAACAUAGUUUGACUUGUUUUAACAAACUUUAGCAGUAGCUUUUUGGAUUCAAUUGCCUGCAUGUUGAACGAGUGUAUUACUGAAAAUUGAUGACGCCAACUAAACAGACUUUUUGGGAUAUAAAGAAGGAUUUUAUAUAACAAAACGACCAUUCAUGUUGUAGCUGGGACCCUUUGGAUUGCAAACAGAAAAGUAAGGGAUUAUUUAAUCGCUAUUUGUGAUUUUAUGAAGCCUGUGCUGGUUGGAAAAUAUGUUGAUGUGGGGCGUCGUCCUCAAACAAUUGCAUGCUUUCGCUGUAAAGCCUAUUGUAAAGCGAACAAUGCAGUUAGAUUAACAAUAAUUUAAGCUUUUUACCGAUAUAAGAUACUUGUAUGUUCAUAAAUGUUUAAUAUUACGAUUAUUUAUUUGAAUUGCACCACCUCCAAUUUCACUGGAUGUUGAGUGUGCAAAGCGUGUGCAAAAAGUUUGAAGAAUCUCAUAUAAAAUAUAUUUUGAUUUCUUUAACACUUUUUUGGUUACUACAUGAUUGCAUAGGUGUUAUUUCAUAGUAGUGAUGUCUUAGCCAUUAUUCUACAAUGUAGAAAAUAGUAAAAAUAACGAUAAACCCUUGAAUGAGUAGCUGCGUCCAACAUUUUGACUGAUACUGUAUAUAUAUAUAUUAAUUUAUUAUUAUUUUUUUACGGUUAUGACAGUUAUUUUAUUCUCAUGACAGUCUUCAUCCAUAACCGUUGGUUACACAGUAAUUGUACCAGCCCUGAAUAGUUGACCAAUGGCUGACCAGUAAGAACACAGAACAGUCACAGCAGGACUUCUGGCCUCCAUCUUGACCAGUGAGACCAGGCUGGCAGCAACACUCCACUGACUGGACUGACCAGCCCCUCACUGAGAGAGAGCGGUUAUGUUCAGUAGGCAGAAAACGUUAGGAAAAUGCAGUCAAAUGGAGGUGCUUGUCCAAUAAGAACGCUUGUUGUCCAAAAUGUUUGUGCUGCGUUGUGCCCUAUAAAACACGACCCUGGAUAGAAAGAGAGAUAUGAGAAGGGAGGUGAAGAGACACACAGAUACAAGGGGAGGUGUAGAGUGAUGAUGGGAUGAGACAGACAGACAGGAGGUGUAGAGUGAUGAUGGGAUGAGACAGACAGAUACAGGGGGAGGUGUAGAGUGAUGAUGGGAUGAGACAGACAGAUACAGGGGGAGGUGUAGAGUGAUGAUGGGAUGAGACAGACAGACAGGAGGUGUAGAGUGAUGAUGGGAUGAGACAGACAGACAGGAGGUGUAGAGUGAUGAUGGGAUGAGACAGACAGACAGGAGGUGUAGAGUGAUGAUGGGAUGAGACAGACAGACAGGAGGUGUAGAGUGAUGAUGGGAUGAGACAGACAGACAGGAGGUGUAGAGUGAUGAUGGGAUGAGACAGACAGACAGGAGGUGUAGAGUGAUGAUGGGAUGAGACAGACAGACAGGAGGUGUAGAGUGAGGAUGGGAUGAGACAGACAGACAGACAGACAGGAGGUGUAGAGUGAGGAUGGGAUGAGACAGACAGGAGGUGUAGAGUGAGGAUGGGAUGAGACAGACAGACAGGAGGUGUAGAGUGAUGAUGGGAUGAGACAGACAGACAGGAGGUGUAGAGUGAUGAUGGGAUGAGACAGACAGACAGGAGGUGUAGAGUGAUGAUGGGAUGAGACAGACAGACAGGAGGUGUAGAGUGAUGAUGGGAUGAGACAGACAGACAGGAGGUGUAGAGUGAUGAUGGGAUGAGACAGACAGACAGGAGGUGUAGAGUGAUGAUGGGAUGAGACAGACAGACAGGAGGUGUAGAGUGAUGAUGGGAUGAGACAGACAGACAGGAGGUGUAGAGUGAGGAUGGGAUGAGACAGACAGACAGGAGGUGUAGAGUGAGGAUGGGAUGAGACAGACAGACAGGAGGUGUAGAGUGAGGAUGGGAUGAGACAGACAGACAGGAGGUGUAGAGUGAGGAUGGGAUGAGACAGAUAGAUGCAUUAUGUGUGAAGCUGCUCUACUUCCCUCCUCUCUAACUGGGUACAGUUUCUCUCCCCUGAGGUUUGCCCCAGAAAAACACUGUCUGGCUGGGAGCCUAUUAGCUUCUAGAGCUAGCUGGAGCUGGGGCUAGCUGCGGUCUGCCUCUAGUGACUCCUUUCCUCUGCUCCUCUCCUUAUCUCCUACCGUUGUCCUUUCCUUUCCUCUACUCCUCUCCUUAUCUCCUACCCUUGUCCUUUCCUCCUCUCCUUAUCUCCUACCCUUGUUCUUUCCUCUGCUCCUUUCCUUAUCUCCUACCCUUGUCCUUUCCUCUGCUCCUCUCCUUAUCUCCUACUCUUGACUCCUUUCCUCUGCUCCUCUCCUUAUCUCCUACUCUUGACUCCUUUCCUCUACUCCUCUCCUUAUCUCCUACCCUUGUCCUUUCCUCUGCUCCUUUCCUUAUCUCCUACCAUUGUCCUUUCCUCUGCUUCUGCUCUUAUCUCCUACUCUUGACUCCUUUCCUCUGCUCCUCUCCUUAUCUCCUACUCUUGACUCCUUUCCUCUACUCCUACUCUUGACUCCUUUCCUCUACUCCUCUCCUUAUCUCCUAACCUUGUCCUUUCCUCUUCUCCUCUCCUUAUCUCCUACUCUUGACUCCUUUCCUCUACUCCUCUCCUUAUCUCCUACUCUUGACUCCUUUCCUCUACUCCUCUCCUUAUCUCCUACUCUUGACUCCUUUCCUCUACUCCUCUCCUUAUCUCCCAACCUUGUCCUUUCCUCUGCUCCUCUCCUUAUCUCCUAACCUUGUCUCCUUUCCUCUGCUCCUCUCCUUAUCUCCUAACCUUGUCUCCUUUCCUCUGCUCCUCUCCUUAUCUCCUAACCUUGUCCUUUCCUCUGCUCCUCUCCUUAUCUCCUACCCUUGUCUCCUUUCCUCUACUCCUCUGUCUAUCUGAGGUGUUACUCUAUAUGUAUUUUCCAACAUUUUCUCAUAAAAAAAAAUAUAAAUUGAAUUUCAUUAUUUUCUGUUCAGUGUACACCAGUAAAUAUCAACCUUUCUGUAUCAAUAAUUUAAUAACUAAAUCACUGGGUGUAUAUUUUGUAUAUUGUAUAUUUUAAGUUCCACUAGAACCAGAUUAUAUGCUGUGUUAUUAUCUAUGCAUGUCACUUCAAAUCAAAUUGUAUUUGUCACAUACACAUGGUUAGCAGAUGUUAAUGCGAGUGUAGCGAAGUGCUUGUGCUUCUAGUUCCGACCGUGCAGUAAUAUCUAACAAGUAAUCUAACAAUUUCACAACUACUACCUAAUACACACAAAUCUAAAGGAAUGAAUAAGAAUAUGUACAUAUAAAUAUAUGGAUGAGCGAUGGACGAACGGCAUAGGCAAGAUGCAUUAGAUGGUAUAGAGUACAGUAUAUACAUAUGAGAUGAGUAAUGUAGGGUAUGUAAACAUUAUAUAAAGUGGCAUUGUUUAAGUGACUAGUGAUAUAUUUAUUACAUCCAAUUUUAAUUAUUAAAGUGGCUAGAGAUUUGAGUCAGUAUGUUGGCAGCAGCCACUCAAUGUUAGUGGUGGCUGUUUAACAGUCUGAUGCCCUUGAGAUAGAAGCUGUUUUUCAGUCUCUCUGUCCCAGCUUUGAUGCACCUGUACGGACCUCGCCUUCUGGAUGAUAGCGGGGUGAACAGGCAGUGGCUCGGGUGGUUGUUGUCCUUGAUGAUCUUUAUGGCCUUCCUGUGACAUCGGGUGGUGUAGGUGUCCUGGAGGGCAGGUAGUUUGCCCCCGGUGAUGCGUUCUGCAGACCUCACUACCCUCUGGAGAGCCUUGUGGUUGUGGGCGGAGCAGUUGCCGUACCAGGCGGUGAUACAGCCCGACAGGAUGCUCUCGAUUGUGCAUCUGUAAAAGUUUGUGAGUGUUUUUGGUGACAAGCCGAAUUUCUUCAGCCUCCUGAGGUUUCCACCUUCUCCACUACUGUCCCGUCGAUGUGGAUAGGGGGGUGCUCCCUCUGCUGUUUCCUGAAGUCCACAAUCAUCUCCUUUGUUUUGUUGACGUUGAGUGUGAGGUUAUUUUCCUGACACCACACUCCGAGGGCCCUCACCUCCUCCCUGUAGGCCGUCUCGUCGUUGUUGGUAAUCAAGCCUACCACUGUAAUGUCGUCCGCAAACUUGAUGAUUGAGUUGGAGGCGUGCAUGGCCACGCAGUCGUGGGUGAACAGGGAGUACAGGAGAGGGCUCAGAACGCACCCUUGUGGGGCCCCAGUGUUGAGGAUCAGCGGGGUGGAGAUGUUGUUACCUACCUUCACCACCUGGGGGCGGCCCGUCAGAAAGUCCAGGAACCCAGUUGCACAGGGCGGGGUUGAGACCCAGGGUCUCGAGCUUAAUGAUGAGUUUGGAUGGUACUAUGGUGUUAAAUGCUGAGCUGUAGUCGAUGAACAGCAUUCUCACAUAGGUAUUCCUCUUGUCCAGAUGGGUUAGGGCAGUGUGCAGUACGAUGGCGAUUGCGUCGUCUGUGGACCUAUUGGGUCGGUAAGCAAAUUGGAGUGGGUCUAGGGUGUCAGGUAGGGUGGAGGUGAUAUGGUCCUUGACUAGUCUCUCAAAGCAUUUCAUGAUGACGGAAGUGAGUGCUACGGGGCGGUACUCGUUUAGCUCAGUUACAUUUGCUUUCUUGGAAACAGGAACCAUGGUGGACAUCUUGAAGCAUGUGGGAACAGCAGACUGGGAUCGGGAGAGAUUGAAUAUGUCUGUAAACACACCAGCCAGCUGGUCUGCGCAUGCUCUGAGGACGCGGCUGAGGAUGCUCUGAGGACGUGGCUGGGGAUGCCGUCUGGGGCUGCAGCCUUGCGAGGGUUAACACGUUUAAAUGUUAUGCUCACGUCGGCUGCAGUGAAGGAGAGCCCGCAGGUUUUGGUAGCGGCUGUGUCAGUGGCACUGCACUGUAUUGUCCUACAAAUUACUUUGACUAACCUGUACCACCGUACAUUGACUCUGUACUGGUACCCCCUGUAUAUAGCCUCCACAUUGACUCUGUACCGGUACCCCCUGUAUAUAGCCUCCACAUUGACUCUGUACCGUAAUACCCUGUAUAUAGCCUCCACAUUGACUCUGUACCGUAACACCCUGUAUAUAGCCUCCACAUUGACUCUGUACCGGUACCCCCUGUAUAUAGCCUCCACAUUGACUCUGUACCGGUACCCCCUGUAUAUAGCCUCCACAUUGACUCUGUACCGGUACCCCCUGUAUAUAGCCUCCACAUUGACUCUGUACCGUAACACCCUCUAUAUAGCCUCCACAUUGACUCUGUACCGGUACCCCCUGUAGAUAGCCUCCACAUUGACUCUGUACCAGUACCCCCUGUAUAUAGCCUCCACAUUGACUCCAUACCGGUACCCCCUGUAUAUAGCCUCCACAUUGACUCUGUACCGGUACUCCCUGUAUAUAGCCUCCACAUUGACUCUGUACCGGUACCCCCUGUAUAUAGCCUCCACAUUGACUCUGUACCGGUACCCCCUGUAUAUAGCCUCCACAUUGACUCUGGGCCGGUACCCCCUGUAUAUAGCCUCCACAUUGACUCUGGGCCGGUACCCCCUGUAUAUAGCCUCCACAUUGACUCUGUACCAGUACCCCCUGUAUAUAGCCUCCACAUUGACUUUGUACCGGUAUCCCCUGUAUAUAGCCUCCACAUUGACUCUGUACCGGUACCCCCUGUAUAUAGCCUCCACAUUGACUCUGUACCGGUAUCCCCUGUAUAUAGCCUCCACAUUGACUCUGGGCCGGUACCCCCUGUAUAUAGCCUCCACAUUGACUCUGUACCGGUAUCCCCUGUAUAUAGCCUCCACAUUGACUCUGGGCUGGUACCCCCUGUAUAUAGCCUUCACAUUGACUCUGGGCCGGUACCCCCUGUAUAUAGCCUCCACAUUGACUCUGUACCAGUACCCCCUGUAUAUAGCCUCCACAUUGACUCUGUACCGGUACCCCCUGUAUAUAGCCUCCACAUUGACUCUGUACCAGUACCCCCUGUAUAUAGCCUCCACAUUGACUCUGUACCAGUACCCCCUGUAUAUAGCCUCCACAUUGACUCUGUACCGUAAUACCCUGUAUAUAGCCUCCACAUUGACUCUGUACCGUAACACCCUGUAUAUAGCCUCCACAUUGACUCUGUACCGGUACCCCCUAUAUAUAGCCUCCACAUUGACUCUGUACCGGUACCCCCUGUAUAUAGCCUCCACAUUGACUCUGUACCGGUACCCCCUGUAUAUAGCCUCCACAUUGGCUCUGUACCGUAACACCCUGUAUAUAGCCUCCACAUUGACUCUGUACCGUAACACCCUGUAUAUAGCCUCCACAUUGACUCUGUACCGGUACCCCCUAUAUAUAGCCUCCACAUUGACUCUGUACCGGUACCCCCUGUAUAUAGCCUCCACAUUGACUCUGUACCGGUACCCCCUGUAUAUAGCCUCCACAUUGACUCUGUACCGUAACACCCUGUAUAUAGCCUCCACAUUGAUUCUGUACCGGUACCCCCUGUAGAUAGCCUCCACAUUGACUCUGUACCAGUACCCCCUGUAUAUAGCCUCCACAUUGACUCCGUACCGGUACCCCCUGUAUAUAGCCUCCACAUUGACUCUGUACCGGUACUCCCUGUAUAUAGCCUCCACAUUGACUCUGUACCGUAAUACCCUGUAUAUAGCCUCCACAUUGACUCUGUACUGAUACCCCCUGUAUAUAGCCUCCGCAUUGACUCUGUACCGGUACCCCCUGUAUAUAGCCUCCACAUUGACUCUGUACCGUAAAACCCUGUAUAUAGCCUCCACAUUGACUCUGUACCAGUACCCCCUGUAUAUAGCCUCCACAUUGACUCUGUACCGUAACACCCUGUAUAUAGCCUCCACAUUGACUCUGUACCGGUACCCCCUGUAUAUAGCCUCCACAUUGACUCUGUACCGGUACCCCCUGUAUAUAGCCUCCACAUUGACUCUGUACCGGUACCCCCUGUAUAUAGCCUCCACAUUGACUCUGUACCGUAACACCCUGUAUAUAGCCUCCACAUUGACUCUGUACCGGUACCCCCUGUAGAUAGCCUCCACAUUGACUCUGUACCAGUACCCCCUGUAUAUAGCCUCCACAUUGACUCCAUACCGGUACCCCCUGUAUAUAGCCUCCACAUUGACUCUGUACCGGUACUCCCUGUAUAUAGCCUCCACAUUGACUCUGUACCGGUACCCCCUGUAUAUAGCCUCCACAUUGACUCUGUACCGGUACCCCCUGUAUAUAGCCUCCACAUUGACUCUGGGCCGGUACCCCCUGUAUAUAGCCUCCACAUUGACUCUGGGCCGGUACCCCCUGUAUAUAGCCUCCACAUUGACUCUGUACCAGUACCCCCUGUAUAUAGCCUCCACAUUGACUUUGUACCGGUAUCCCCUGUAUAUAGCCUCCACAUUGACUCUGUACCGGUACCCCCUGUAUAUAGCCUCCACAUUGACUCUGUACCGGUAUCCCCUGUAUAUAGCCUCCACAUUGACUCUGGGCCGGUACCCCCUGUAUAUAGCCUCCACAUUGACUCUGUACCGGUAUCCCCUGUAUAUAGCCUCCACAUUGACUCUGGGCUGGUACCCCCUGUAUAUAGCCUUCACAUUGACUCUGGGCCGGUACCCCCUGUAUAUAGCCUCCACAUUGACUCUGUACCAGUACCCCCUGUAUAUAGCCUCCACAUUGACUCUGUACCGGUACCCCCUGUAUAUAGCCUCCACAUUGACUCUGUACCAGUACCCCCUGUAUAUAGCCUCCACAUUGACUCUGUACCAGUACCCCCUGUAUAUAGCCUCCACAUUGACUCUGUACCGUAAUACCCUGUAUAUAGCCUCCACAUUGACUCUGUACCGUAACACCCUGUAUAUAGCCUCCACAUUGACUCUGUACCGGUACCCCCUAUAUAUAGCCUCCACAUUGACUCUGUACCGGUACCCCCUGUAUAUAGCCUCCACAUUGACUCUGUACCGGUACCCCCUGUAUAUAGCCUCCACAUUGGCUCUGUACCGUAACACCCUGUAUAUAGCCUCCACAUUGACUCUGUACCGGUACCCCCUAUAUAUAGCCUCCACAUUGACUCUGUACCGGUACCCCCUUUAUAUAGCCUCCACAUUGACUCUGUACCGGUACCCCCUGUAUAUAGCCUCCACAUUGACUCUGUACCGUAACACCCUGUAUAUAGCCUCCACAUUGACUCUGUACCGGUACCCCCUGUAGAUAGCCUCCACAUUGACUCUGUACCAGUACCCCCUGUAUAUAGCCUCCACAUUGACUCUGUACCAGUACCCCCUGUAUAUAGCCUCCACAUUGACUUUGUACCGGUAUCCCCUGUAUAUAGCCUCCACAUUGACUCUGUACCGGUACCCCCUGUAUAUAGCCUCCACAUUGACUCUGUACCGGUACCCCCUGUAUAUAGCCUCCACAUUGACUCUUUACCGGUACCCCCUGUAUAUAGCCUCCACAUUGACUCUGUACCGGUACCCCCUGUAUAUAGCCUCCACAUUGACUCUGUACCAUAACACCCUGUAUAUAGUCUCCACAUUGACUCUGUACCGUAACCCCCUGUAUAUAGCCUCCACAUUGACUCUGUACCGGUACCCCCUGUAUAUAGCCUCCACAUUGACUCUGUACCUGUACCCCCUGUAUAUAGUCUCCACAUUGACUCUGUACCAUAACACCCUGUAUAUAGCCUCCACCUUGACUCUGUACCGUAACACCCUGUAUAUAGCCUCCACAUUGACUCUGUACCGUAACAUUACAUAGACCAGCUGGUUAGACAGGAUACAGUAGACCAGCUGCUCUGUCCACAUGGUUAGACAGGAUACAGUAGACCAGCUGGUUAGACAGGAUACAGUAGACCAGCUGGUUAGACAGGAUACAGUAGACCAGCUGCUCUGUCCACAUGGUUAGACAGGAUACAGUAGACCAGCUGCUCUGUCCACAUGGUUAGACAGGAUACAGUAGACCAGCUGCUCUGUCCACAUGGUUAGACAGGAUACAGUAGACCAGCUGCUCUGUACACAUGGUUAGACAGGAUACAGUAGACCAGCUGCUCUGUCCACAUGGUUAGACAGGAUACAGUAGGCCAGCUGCUCUGUCCACAUGGUUAGACAGGAUACAGUAGACCAGCUGCUCUGUCCACGUGGUUAGACAGGAUACAGUAGACCAGCUGCUCUGUCCACAUGGUUAGACAGGAUACAGUAGACCAGCUGCUCUGUCCACGUGGUUAGACAGGAUACAGUAGGCCAACUGGUUAGACAGGAUACAGUAGGCCAGCUGGUUAGACAGGAUACAGUAGACCAGCUGCUCUGUCCACAUGGUUAGACAGGAUACAGUAGACCAGCUGCUCUGUCCACAUGGUUAGACAGGAUACAGUAGACCAGCUGCUCUGUCCACGUGGUUAGACAGGAUACAGUAGACCAGCUGCUCUGUCCACAUGGUUAGACAGGAUACAGUAGACCAGCUGCUCUGUCCACAUGGUUAGACAGGAUACAGUAGACCAGCUGCUCUGUCCACGUGGUUAGACAGGAUACAGUAGACCAGCUGCUCUGUCCACAUGGUUAGACAGGAUACAGUAGACCAGCUGCUCUGUCCACAUGGUUAGACAGGAUACAGUAGACCAGCUUCUCUGUCCACAUGGUUAGACAGGAUACAGUAGACCAGCUGCUCUGUCCACGUGGUUAGACAGGAUACAGUAGACCAGCUGCUCUGUCCACAUGGUUAGACAGGAUACAGUAGACCAGCUGCUCUGUCCGCAUGGUUAGACAGGAUACAGUAGACCAGCUGCUCUGUCCGCAUGGUUAGACAGGAUACAGAAGACCACACACACAGUAUAGAGAGUGAGAGGUCAUUAGAGGAGUUUCAUUCCUUUGGCAUCUUCAAAGAAAAGCCCAGCUGAUGGGAAUAACCAAGCCGCUGUAAUGAAACGUCAUUGCAUUUUGUUUAAAGGCCCAAUGCAGCCAUUUUUUUAAAUAUCAAUAUCAAAUCAUUUCUGGGUAACAUUUAAGUAGUUGAUUAGUGUAAUAUAUUUCCAUUACAACUAUCAGGGAAUAACACUGAUACAUUCUUCACACUUGUACAGUGUUAGUUUCAUCCGCUGUUGUACAAUAUGAUAUAAAACACAGGAACAACUGAAUUCUGACUGCAAUGGGCCUUUAAAUAAAGAGUUCCGGGUGAUUUAUCAUUUCUGAUCAUAGUUCCCUUUUAUUCUAAGCGAUAAGCUGUAACCUGCUCUGUACUGCUACAGAGAGGGACUGAUAAGCUGUAUCCUGCCCUGUACUGCUACAGAGAGGGACUGAUAAGGUGUAUCCUGCCCUGUACUGCUACAGAGAGGGACUGAUAAGCUGUAUCCUGCCCUGUACUGCUACAGAGAGGG